CGUGCGGCCCACCUCGGCGGCGGCCGGCGUGCUCUUCGCCAUCACGGACGCAGCGCAGACGGUCGUCUCGGUGGGCCUCAAGCUCUCGGAGGUCCAGGACGGGCAGCAGCAGAUCCUGCUCCUGUACACGGAGCCGGGCGCGCAGCGGACCCACACGGCCGCCAGCUUCCGCCUGCCCGCCCUCACCCACCGGUGGGUCCGCUUCGCGCUCAGCGUGGACGACAGCGCCGCCACCCUCUACGUGGGCUGCGAGGAGUUCCAGCGGGUGCCGAUCACGCGCUCCCCGGGCGGCCUGGAGCUGGAGCCCGGCUCCGGCCUCUUCGUGGCCCAGGCGGGGGGAGCCGACCCCGACAAGUUCCAGGCAGGAAAAUGGUCCACGAGAAUUCCCCUGUAAUUGUUGCUAUGCUGGAAGCCGGAACACGGUGGGAACAAGAGCCAGCCCCCCAUUUUCAAGGAGUCCACAGUCAAGACCACAAGUACCGCUGGCGAAUUUCUCACUUGUUUUAUCUGUAUUCAGUGAUGAAAGCAGUUAAGGCUGUGACUUUUCCUCAACAAGUAGCUUUGGCCGGCUGUCCAUGCUAGGAUUGUGCCUCCAGAAGCAGCCUUAGUUUGUGAAUAAGCAAAUCAGGGGAUUGGUGCCCUCUGACCCCCGUGGGGCCCCCCUUUCUCUGCAUCCCCCAAUCCCAGCCACCCCCAGAUGUACACCCCUGGAACAAGGGGGAGCUUCUGGCACUCACAGUCCAGAUGUCACCCUGGCUCCCUGGGUCCCCCUUCCGUGACUCGACUUGCUCUUACUCACCACCCCAUUCCUAUAAUAAAUACCCAGAAGUCUUCCUUUAUCCAUCAGAAUGACAUUCACUGGCCAUAUAACCUGUAUGGAAUUCCACAACAUUAAUUUCACUUUUUUCCUGAAAAUUAAAGCAGUAGGAGAAAUGUUGUUUGCAGCAAAAUAAUAAGCGUUUUGAUAUGUGGCUGUUUGGGUUGGACCACAUUAGAAGAAACAGUGAAGAAAUCAGAUAAUAAUGGACAAGCCUGGGCUGGGCAGAAGUGGUCAGAAGCUGUUCAGUGUGGGCGGCGGACUUGGCCCAGUGGUUAGGGCGCCCGUCUACCACAUGGGAGGUCCGCGGUUCAAGCCCCGGGCCUCCUUGACCCGUGUGGAGCUGGCCCAUGUGCAGUGCUGAUGCGCACAAGGAGUGCCGUGCCAUGCAGGGGUGUCCCCCCGUAGAGGAGCCCCACGUGCAAGGAGUGCGCCCCGUAAGGAGAGCCGCCCAGCACGAAAAAAGCGCAGCCUGCCUAAGAAUGGCGCUGCACACACAGAGAGCUGACACAACAACAAGAUGACGCAACAAAAAGAGACACAGAUUCCCGUGCCGCUGACAACAGAAGCGGACAAAGAAACAAGAUGCAGCAAAAUAGACACAGAGAACGGACAACCGGGGUGGAGGGGGAGGGGAGAGAAAUAAAUAAAUAAAUCUUAAAAAAAAAAAAAAAAAGAAGCCCUUCAGUGCAAGCGCUCGAGGAAAUGAGGCAGUGCAGGCAUGGCUGGAUCAAGGCUCCCGCUGGGACCCGUGCUGAGGGCACGGGCUGGUGGGGUACAGGAGCCUGGAGGCUUGAGCUGGUCCCAUUGACCAUCCCUGGGGUAGUAAUUGCUCCUCCAGACUAGGGGAGAAGGGGCACAGGACAAAGGGCCCCCAUUGCAGAGGCUGCAGGGAAACCUGGGGGUCCCCGGGGCGGGGU
rnacentral:lncRNA from 1 species